UUGCGAUGAGUAAAUGGGGGAAUGCGUAAAGCCGGGAUCGAUUCGUUUAACCUUCGUUCGACACGUUUUUUCGACCGAGUUAAGUUCGCGACUUUUUACAGAAGACCAAACAAGUGCUAGGCGUUACCUUUCAACAGAGACGCACGGAGUUCAACGGCAAUUAUUAAUAAUCAGACUGCCUCUAUCAAACCUCGUGGAGGGAGAAGAAUGAACUAUUGUAGGUCCAAAAAUGUCAGCAUGAUAAGUGAUGAAACAGUGGAACAUGUUGAGGAUGAGGAAACAAGUACAGCACAUACCACCACUAACGAGCCAGAGCCUGGGUUGAUGAUAGAUGAGGAUGAUGAAAAUGAAGCUGAGGACGAUGACAUACACCUUUUAAAUAAAUAUGACACUGACAGUGAUUAUUGCAGCGACUUUCAGGCUGAGGAAUUUAACAUUGAAAGAAUAAUGUGCUUCUCCAAACAAUAUGAUUUAGAUUAACAUGAUAACAUGAUAAUAAAAACACUGUGUCUGUAUUU